GCUAUAUGUACAUAUUUAACAAAAUAAGAUCAUAUUUUUUCACUCAAAAAAAUUCUUCGAAUGAUCAGCAAGAUUAAUUUCGUUAUAUUUUGGCUACAUUUCAUUUAAUCAAAAUUUGUUUAUUAUCCAUUGUAGCUCGCUCUACUUUCCUCCAAUUAGUAUCAAAAAAAUGAAAUAACAGAUUCCAAAUGCUUAAAUUUGAAUGAAAGCAAAGCAUGAUACGAUACCUUCGCACAAAUGGUGGAGAAUCUUCGACUUGACCAUUCGAUUCUUGAGCUAAUCUGACCGCCAAUUCAUGAUCCCUUCUUUCUUGCUCCAAUAACUCGCGAUAUUUGCUGUUUUCCAUUGCUUCUUUUUCCAACUUAUGUACUUUGCGAAGCUCAUCAGAUUUCUUAUCUUCUUCUUCUUGCUUUUUCUUUUGCUCCUCUUCUGCCUUCCUUCUCAUCUCGAUAUCGUGUUUCUUUCUUCUAUUUUCUUCCUCCUCUCUCUUUUUCCGUUCAUCCUCUUCUUUUCUCUGCUUUUCGAGUUCUAACUCCUGUUGGAUCUUCCUCAGUCUUGCUUGUUCCUCAGCAAUCUUCUGUUGCUCGACCAUAUCUUGCAACAACGCCAUUUGUUUGUUCACCUGGUUCACCAAAUUCGUAUACAAAGAAUCGAUUUCCACUGGUUUUAUUUUUUCAUUCAUCUUUAUUUUCUCAAUAGCCGCAUUCAAAUCCCUCUGCAGUCUUUUAAUGUCGCCCAUAGGUUUUUCACGGUUUUUCAAUUGCUCGGACGUUUCUUCCAUGCCACUUAACUGUGUCUUCAACUUCUCGAUCUUCGCUGUUCCCUUUAUGCGAGGACGAUGUUGCUUCUUAGCUAUGUACAUCCUCGCUGUUUUUUGUAAAAUAAUUAAGUGCUGUCUUCGAUAGAUGAUCUUAUUUUUCAAUUUGAUCACAGAUAACGCACAAAACUGCAUCUUGUUCCACCGAGACUUAAGUAACCACUUCUUUACGUUAGCUACCAACUUCCUUAGGUUCUCAGGAUCUGAUUUCAUGAUCUUAUCGAAUUCAGCAAACUUCCCAGGUUUGAAAAAAACUCUGGUAAUUCCAAACUUAAAAUCUUUCUUAUUCAAUUUUAAGCUAUGAAGCAACGCUUCGCAAAAAAAUCUAGGCUCCAAUUUGGCCAAUUCUGGCGGAAGAUACGAUUUGUACAUGUUAUACAAUUCCUGGAAUGGAACUCUACUAGGAUAGCCAUGUUCCAUGAGUUCUAAAACAGACGUCAUUCCAGAACAACGAAGCUGUCCCAAAAUACUGUUACCGUCGAAUUGAUGAGCCACCAUCUCGUUAUUCGGUUUGAUGCAGCGAAUAAAAUUUGUUCCCUUUAAGAAAAAUUUAAUUUACCUGCUACCUGAUUAUCUACUUAAAAAGAGCAUAAUAUUAAAAUGACUAAUGUGAGUAAUUCUCUUACAGUGCUUUUUAAUUUAUCCAUUAGUUCCCCAAGUUGUGUUUUAAAUUUACUGCCUACACUGAUGAAAGUAAGUUUCCCUUUCUGACGAGAAUUAUUGGUAAACUGUGUUCUUAGAAAUUUGUUAUUACUUUCUUGAAUUAAUGCUUCCAAGGAAGCAUGUAGAGCAUCGUUAUUUUUCUCAAUGAAUUGAUUCUAAAAAUGAGAAAAAUUGCUAGAAAUUUCUUAAAGAAAAGAAAGUCAGAAAGUGAGAUAGAAAGUGUACCAAAUAUAGAAAGCAUAACAAUAUAGCGUAUCAUAUUAAUAAUAAAUAUACUUUCUAUAAAGAGCAGGAGCAAAAAUAGGAUAUACUACAUAUAACAGAUGAAGUACCGUUUGAUAACAAACACCACCAGCAUAAUGACGAAUUACGAAUCCUUCAUCGUCACGCAAUUCUCUGUGGGCUUUCAAACGAGAAGUUCGUG
rnacentral:misc_RNA from 1 species